GCGGAGGAAAAGAAACUAACAAGGAUUCCCCUAGUAACGGCGAGUGAAGAGGGAAAAGCCCAAGAUUGAAAGCUGGCGCCUUCGGCGUCCGCAUUGUAAUCUCAAGAAGUGUUUUCCGCUUCGGACCAAGCCUAAGUUUCCUGGAAAGGAGCAUCGUAGAGGGUGAAAAUCCCGUCCAUGGUUUGGAGCGCCCGGAGCUUUGUGAUACACUUUCUAAGAGUCGAGUUGUUUGGGAAUGCAGCUCAAAAUGGGUGGUAAAUGCCAUCUAAGGCUAAAUAUUGGGGAGAGACCGAUAGCGAACAAGUACAGUGAUGGAAAGAUGAAAAGAACUUUGAAAAGAGAGUUAAACAGUACGUGAAAUUGCCAAAAGGGAAGGGUAGGAGGUCAGAGAUGCGGCCUGGGAUUCAGCCUUGCUUCUGCUUGGUGUAUUUCCCAGAUGGCAGGCCAACGUCGGUUUUGGACACUGGAGAAGGGUAAGAGGAAUGUGGCACUUCUCGGAGUGUGUUAUAGCCUCUUACUGGAUGCAGCGACCGAGACCGAGGAACGCAGCGUACUCGUAAGAGCGGGCCUUCGGGCACCUUUACGCUUAGGGCGUUGGCAUAAUGGCCCUCUACCACCCGUCUUGAAAACACGGACC
rnacentral:rRNA from 1 species